UACGAAGGGGGCUAGCGUUGCUCGGAAUCACUGGGCGUAAAGCGCACGUAGGCGGCUUUCUAAGUCAGGGGUGAAAUCCUGGAGCUCAACUCCAGAACUGCCUUUGAUACUGGAGAGCUCGAGUCCGGGAGAGGUGGGUGGAAUUCCUAGUGUAGAGGUGAAAUUCGUAGAUAUUAGGAAGAACACCGGUGGCGAAGGCGGCCCACUGGAUCGGUACUGACGCUGAGGUGCGAAAGCGUGGGGAGCAAACAGG
rnacentral:rRNA from 1 species